rnacentral:RNase_P_RNA from 1 species
UGAGUGGACUGGACAGCCGCGCGGUCGGAGACGAACGUGAGGAAAGUCCGGGCUUCACAGAGCAGGGCAACGGCUAACCGCCGCCGAGGGCGACCUUAGGAAAAGGGCAACAGAAAUAGACGGCCGGACUCGUCCGGUCAAGGUGGAAAGGUGCGGUAAGAGCGCACCCAUUGUGUGCGAGAGUACACUCUGCUGUAAACUCUGCCCGAAGCAACACCGACCGGGGAGGGGCAGAUAGCCCCGCGCUUGCUCGGCGCAGCACAUCCCCAACGGGUGGCAGUGGUUUGGGGGCAACCCCCGACCCGAGCGCGUCAGCAAUGACGCGCAAAGAUAGAUGGCUGUCUUAAACGACAGAACCCGGCUUAUAGGUUCACUCACCAU